rnacentral:rRNA from 1 species
UAGCGGAGGAAGAAACAACAGGGAUUGCCCCAGUAACGGCGAGUGAAGCGGCAACAGCUCAAAUUUGAAAUCUUGGCCUCGGCCCGAGUUGUAAUUUGCAGAGGAUGUUUCUGGCGCGGUGCCUUCUGAGUUCCCUGGAACGGGACGCCAUAGAGGGUGAGAGCCCCGUACGGUUGGACGCCUAGCCUGUGUGAAACUCCUUCGACGAGUCGAGUAGUUUGGGAAUGCUGCUCAAAAUGGGAGGUAUAUCUCUUCUAAAGCUAAAUAUUGGCCAGAGACCGAUAGCGCACAAGUAGAGUGAUCGAAAGAUGAAAAGCACCUUGAAAAGGGGGUUAAACAGCACGUGAAAUUGUUGAAAGGGAAGCGCCCAUGACCAGACUUGUGCCCGGCGGAUCACCCAGCGUUCUCGCUGGGGCACUCCGCCGGGUCCAGGCCAGCAUCGGUUUUCGCCGGGGGAUAAAGGCUCUGGGAACGUAGCUCCUCCGGGAGUGUUAUAGCCCUCUGCGUAAUACCCUGGCGGGGACCGAGGUACGCGCUCCGCAAGGAUGCUGGCGUAAUGGUCAUCAGCGACCCGUCUUGAAACACGGAUCAAGGAGUCGUCCAUUAGAGCGAGCGUUUGGGUGUCAAACCCGCACGCGUAAUGAAAGUGAACGUAGGUGAGAGCUUCGGCGCAUCAUCGACCGAUCCUGAUGUCCUCGGAUGGAUUUGAGUAUGAGUUUUACUGGACGGACCCGAAAGAUGGUGAACUAUGCCUGUAUAGGGUGAAGCCAGAGGAAACUCUGGUGGAGGCUCGCAGCGGUUCUGACGUGCAAAUCGAUCGUCAAAUAUGGGCAUGGGGGCGAAAGACUAAUCGAACCAUCUAGUAGCUGGUUACCGCCGAAGUUUCCCUCAGGAUAGCAGUGUGUUGAUCUUCAGUUUUAUGAGGUAAAGCGAAUGAUUAGGGACUCGGGGGCGCUAUUUAGCCUUCAUCCAUUCUCAAACUUUAAAUAUGUAAGAAGCCCUUGUUACUUAGUUGAACGUGGGCAUUCGAAUGUACCAACACUAGUGGGCCAUUUUUGGUAAGCAGAACUGGCGAUGCGGGAUGAACCGAACGCGGGGUUAAGGUGCCGGAGUGGACGCUCAUCAGACACCACAAAAGGCGUUAGUACAUCUUGACAGCAGGACGGUGGCCAUGGAAGUCGGAAUCCGCUAAGGACUGUGUAACAACUCACCUGCCGAAUGUACUAGCCCUGAAAAUGGAUGGCGCUCAAGCGUCCCACCCAUACCCCGCCCUCAGGGUAGAAUCGAUGCCCUGAGGAGUAGGCGGCCGUGGGGGUCAGUGACGAAGCCUAAGGGCUGAGCCCGGUCGACGCCCUUG